rnacentral:tRNA from 1 species
GUGGAUGUAAUUUAAAAUAAAAUAUUUGCUUUGCAAGCAAAAAAUCUAAAUUAAUAACCUAGCUUCUACA